rnacentral:rRNA from 1 species
UACGAGGGGGGCAAGCGUUGUUCGGAUUUACUGGGCGUAAAGGGCGCGUAGGCGGCCACGACAAGUCACUUGUGAAAUCUCCGGGCUUAACUCGGAACGGUCAAGUGAUACUGUCGGGCUAGAGUACAGAAGGGGCAACUGGAAUUCUCGGUGUAGCGGUGAAAUGCGUAGAUAUCAGGAGGAACACCGAUGGCGAAGGCAGGUCUCUGGGCCACUACUGACGCUGAGAAGCGAAAGCAUGGGGAGCGAACAGG